rnacentral:lncRNA from 1 species
UGUGAUUGGGUAAAGCUUAAUCUCCAUUAUUCUUCAAUGAUGAACAGAAUUUCAUUUCAUUGGAUAACUCAGGACAUUGUGGACAGUGAUAUCCAUGGAAAGCAAGGUGCGUGUGACCUUGACACUAUGGAACGGAUGUGGUCCCAGUUUCUGAAGUCCUCAAGGUCAUGGUACUCAACAAUGCCUUAAAUGCCAGCAGACCCUCUAAACUCACAAAAGGAGCUCCGGUCCUGCUGAGCAGGAGAACAGCAGGGUUUGGGAAAGCUGCUGAUUGAAAUGCAAGCCUUCUCCUGAGAAGAUAGAAUAUCUAGAAUCAAGAAAGAGGCAUUUGGCUUUUCCGGGUGCACCCACCCCAGCUUCACUUACAAAGGAUGAAGUUAACCAUAGGAAGUUGGGCAGCAACCAGAGUAGCAACUGGAUCUGAUCUCAAAGGACACACCAGUGAAAGAGCAGCCUUUUGU